AUGAAAUUAAAAUCUCCAGGCGCACCCCGAAGUUGUAGUCAGCCGAAGCGUAACUGCUACCCCACCCUCCCCCCAGCCCAGUGCGCGCCCCCGUCCCGGCCUCGCGGCGCGCUGAGGGUUAAGCGCGCGCAGGAGUGGGUAGUUGGCGACGGAGGAGGAGCGGGGGUGGGGUGGCGAGCGCCGCGGCCGGGGAAGCUGGGCUCGCUCUCCUCCCCCUCAUCGUCCCAGCCAACCCAGGAGUGGCGAGGCCGGAGCGAUCGGAAGGAGCCGGUCGGUCUCCGCCUUCGCGGCUGGCCUGGAGCCGGGUCCGGCCGCGGCCCGCAACCGCCAGGACGCUGCUCCGAGGCCGCGUCCUGCGUAGCCAGGGUGGGGGAGGGGGCGGUGGCUCCGGAGCCGCGGCGGCGCGUCGCCAGCCAGCCGAUCGAUCCCCAGGGGCCGGAGCGCCGCAAGCUCCGCUGGACACCUGGGGCGGGGGUGUCCCUGCAGGAUCAAAGGGAGAACGGAGGGGGUGCUCAGGGAUCCGGUGACCGUGGGAUGGCGGCCGGGAGGGCCCAGCCAGAGCACGGUUCUGCCUGUGCUGCGGGGGCCAAGGACUGGGGGCGGGUGGUAACGCCUCGGGCACCCCCACCCCCCCUCCAAAUCCUGUAUUGUCGGUAUCGGGGCCGGCUUUGGCCACUUCCGGAGCUGAAUCUGGCUGCCCUGAAACUUGGUCUCUCCGCGUCCACGUUCCCACCCCACCCCCACUCCCGACUACAAGGUCGUCGGACGUGGUCACCUAGUCCAUUUCCUCCUCGCCCCGCCCUCCUGAAUCCUGGUAGAAAACGGAGUCCAAAAAGGCAAAAGCGCCCAGGGCUCUUAGAAUGUGGUCCUGCUUCUGGGAGAACUUCCAAGAAUGGCAUCUCUGGGGAGAUUUGGUGAAUGGGAGUUACCAGCUGUCUCUGUGGAUGGGUUCAGUUGCCUCAGUUGUUGGCUUUGGGUUGAUGGCACUGGGGAGUUCAGAACAUUGAUCUUCACGUGUGGCCUUCUAUCUCUAUGCAGUUCUAUCUUCUUGGGCCACUUCUCCUCGGUUUGGAGUUCAGGUUUCUGUCUGACUCUCCUGAAAAAAAUCAAACAAACAAACAUGUCAAAGUA
rnacentral:lncRNA from 1 species